AACGAACGCUGGCGGCAUGCCUAACACAUGCAAGUCGAACGAGACCUUCGGGUCUAGUGGCGCACGGGUGCGUAACGCGUGGGAACCUGCCCUUAGGUUCGGAAUAACUCCCCGAAAGGGGUGCUAAUACCGGAUAAUGUCUUCGGACCAAAGAUUUAUCGCCUUUGGAUGGGCCCGGGUUGGAUUAGCUAGUUGGUAGGGUAAAAGCCUACCAAGGCGACGAUCCAUAGCUGGUCUGAGAGGAUGAUCAGCAACACUGGGACUGAGACACGGCCCAGACUCCUACGGGAGGCAGCAGUGGGGAAUAUUGGACAAUGGACGAAAGCCUGAUCCAGCAAUGCCGCGUAAGUGAUGCAGGCCUUAGGGUUGUAAAGCUCUUUUACCCGGGAUGAUAAUGACGGUACCGGGAGAAUAAGCACCGGCUAACUCCGUG
rnacentral:rRNA from 1 species